GAUGAACGCUGGCGGCGUGCUUAAUACAUGCAAGUCGAACGAGGAACUUUUGUCUUCGGAUGGAGGUUUCCUAGUGGCGAACGGGUGAGUAACGCGUUGGUGACCUGCCCCAAAGUGUGGGAUAACAGUUCGAAAGGACUGCUAAUACCUCAUGUGAUCAGCGGGAUUAGAUGCCUGCUGAUUAAAGGCGUAAGCCGGUUGGGGAGGGGCCUGCGUCCCAUCAGCUAGUUGGUAGGGUAAUGGCCUACCAAGGCUAUGACGGGUAGGGGAACUGAGAGGGUGGCCCCCCACCCUGGCACUGAAGUACGGGCCAGGUACCGACGGGUGGCAGCAGUAGGGAAUAUUGGACAAUGGGAGAAAGCCUGAUCCAGCAACGCCGCGUGGGCGAUGACGGCCUUCGGGUUGUAAAGCGCUUUUAGAGGAGAUGAGAAAGGACAGUAUCCACAGAAGAAGCACCGGCUAACUCCGUGCCAGCCGCCGCCGUAACAC
rnacentral:rRNA from 1 species